rnacentral:misc_RNA from 1 species
UCUUUUUUUUUUCUUUUUUUUUUCCUGUGCCUGGCCUCCUUUGGGCGCGCCUUGGUGAGGUGCUGCGUCUUUCUUCCCUUCUGGCGAUGCCUGCUGCACCUGGUGUGCCCUGCGCCUGAGGCGAGCCUUUGAUAACAGUGGUGACUGAUGAUAAAAAAUUGGAAUGACAAAAAAAAUUCUUAGUUUGGUGUUUAUUUGUUUAGAAGGAAACGUGGCUAUUGUAUGGGGAGACCCCAAGCUGGACAUAGUAAUCAGGGGUUUCGCCAAACAAAACAUAAAAAGAUGAGUGAAUAUGGAGUUUCUGUUUGACAUCAAACCUAUUUUUACUUACACAUUAGGCAAUUAGUCAAACUGCAAGGAAACAAAAAAUAAUGAGUAUUAUCACAUCCUGUGAAUUGAAAUUCCUAGAAUGGAAGAAAGCUCAAAUUUGCCCAUGAGCUUUUAGUCCGUGUUCAAAUAAGCCCAUUCUUAAGUUUUUGAUUCAAUUAACCUAAAACUUUUGAUUUAAGUCCAAAUCUACCCAGUUUUUUCUUAAAUAAUAAUAUUUUUAAUUUUUAAUAAUAAAAUAUUAAUUUUUACAUUUUUAAAUGUUAAAAAUUAUUUAUCAUAUUUAAUAAAAAUUAAAAAUAAAAAAAAUUAAGAACAAAAACUCUGAAUUCUUCACUCAACAUGAAAAUCAAGAACAUCAGAUAAAUCAACCUAGAUUUGAACAAAAGAACAUCAAGAACUAAUACCCCAGAAAUUCACCAGGAACACCACGAGCACACUCCUUCAAACCCAGAACACCAGAAGAACACAACCUAACAAUUAGUACACAAAAGGCAUCCAAGCACAUAGAUCUCCAUUAGAAACUGACUUUGAUUUGAAAACAGAAUAUCAAUGAACUAGCAAUGGGAGAAUAUUUCACGAAAAUAGAUUUUAGUCAAAUCCCAUCUUACCCCAAUCUGUUCAAGGAGAGAAGAAGGCCCUGUGACUUGGUAGAACUACGAAGCCAGCCUUGAAGGAAUGAUAUUGAGGAAGAUGGGGGAGCUGCAAGCAAUGGUGCGAAGAUUGGGAUAUGUGGAGGAAGGGGCAUGAUGGUGGUCUGUUGUGGGAAGAAUCCUUCCCUUCAUCUGAAAAAUGGUGAUUUGGUAUGGAUUGAGUUGCUGAGAUUAAGGAGAAGAUGCGUGGUGGUGAUUGAGAAUAAGGAUUUGAGAUGAAUGUUCUUCUUGGAUUUGAAUGAAUGAAGCCAAUUUGUUUCUUUUCAGUACUGACAGUUUCUUUUCUAGUUGAAUCAGGGUGAUUUGUGUUUGGAUUUUUGGAUUGAAUUACUGGGUUCGCUUGAUAGGAUUCUUAGGGUUCUUUCUGUGUUUUAUUUUUGAAAUUUUUAUUUUGAUUAAAAAUA